CAGUAGCCGCGGUAAGACAGAGGAUGCAAGCGUUAUCCGGAAUGAUUGGGCGUAAAGCGUCUGUAGGUGGCUUUUCAAGUCCGCCGUCAAAUCCCAGGGCUCAACCUGGGAACUGCAUUUGAGACUGUAUGGCUAGAGUGUGUCAGAGGGGGGUAGAAUUCCACGUGUAGCAGUGAAAUGCGUAGAUAUGUGGAGGAAUACCGAUGGCGAAGGCAGCCCCCUGGGAUAACACUGACGCUCAUGCACGAAAGCGUGGGGAGCAAACAGGAUUAGAUACCCCAGUAGUCCCUGUCUCUUAUAC
rnacentral:rRNA from 1 species